GUGGAGCCCUUAUGACCUAAAUGCCUCCUGAAGGUUCCACCUCUCAAUACCACCACAAGAGGAACCAAGUUUUCAUGCUUGAACUUUGGGGGGACACAUUCAUUAUAUCAGGCCUCCUGGUUAUACAGGCACAUUCAUGGUCUUAUAUUUGUGACUUCUGCUUGUUACUGGGAAGAACUGAGGUUUCUUGAAAAGACUACAAAAUUUGAGGCCCUACCCAAACUGUUUAAGGAUCAGAGCACUACUGUCUGUGGCUGCAUAAACUUGGCACGUUGCUACACUACUCUGAACCUUAGUUUGCCAUCAAUAAAAUGAGGAGAAAGCA
rnacentral:lncRNA from 10 species